GAAGCACUGAGGGGAGCCGAAGCUCCCCCCAAAGCGUUGUUGCCUGCUCUUUUUAUUAUUGAAGACGGCCUUUUGUUGUUUUUGUCAGCCUGUCUUUGUGUCGCGGGCGACCCCCAUGCGGGGUCAAGAACAAACGUAUUUUUUUGAGCGCUGACCUGCUUUCAUCAUGACUGAUCCGAUGCUGACUGCCGCUACCUUGAGGUAGUU
rnacentral:misc_RNA from 3 species